rnacentral:piRNA from 1 species
UUCCCUGCAUGCCUUGACUUAGGUAUGAUGA